rnacentral:miRNA from 1 species
CGGUUUUGAGAUUUGCAAUGUG